rnacentral:rRNA from 1 species
UACGGGGGGGGCGAAGCGUUGUUCGGAAUUACUGGGCGUAAAGGGCUCGUAGGCUGCCAACUAAGUCAGACGUGAAAUCCCUCGGCUUAACCGGGGAACUGCGUCUGAUACUGGAUGGCUUGAGGUUGGGAGAGGGAUGCGGAAUUCCAGGUGUAGCGGUGAAAUGGCGUAGAUAUCUGGAGGAACACCGGUGGCGAAGGCGGCAUCCUGGACCAAUUCUGGACGCUGAGGAGCGAAAGCCAGGGGAGCAAACGGG